rnacentral:rRNA from 1 species
GACGUUAGCGGCGGACGGGUGAGUAACACGUGGGCAACCUACCUUAUAGUUUGGGAUAACUCCGGGAAACCGGGGCUAAUACCGAAUAAUCUAUUUUACUUCAUGGUGAAAUACUGAAAGACGGUUUCGGCUGUCGCUAUAAGAUGGGCCCGCGGCGCAUUAGCUAGUUGGUGAGGUAACGGCUCACCAAGGCGACGAUGCGUAGCCGACCUGAGAGGGUGAUCGGCCACACUGGGACUGAGACACGGCCCAGACUCCUACGGGAGGCAGCAGUAGGGAAUCUUCCACAAUGGGCGAAAGCCUGAUGGAGCAACGCCGCGUGAGUGAAGAAGGUUUUCGGAUCGUAAAACUCUGUUGUAAGGGAAGAACAAGUACAGUAGUAACUGGCUGUACCUUGACGGUACCUUAUUAGAAAGCCACGGCUAACUACGUGCCAGCAGCCGCGGUAAUACGUAGGUGGCAAGCGUUGUCCGGAAUUAUUGGGCGUAAAGCGCGCGCAGGCGGUCCUUUAAGUCUGAUGUGAAAGCCCACGGCUCAACCGUGGAGGGUCAUUGGAAACUGGGGGACUUGAGUGCAGAAGAGGAAAGUGGAAUUCCAAGUGUAGCGGUGAAAUGCGUAGAGAUUUGGAGGAACACCAGUGGCGAAGGCGACUUUCUGGUCUGUAACUGACGC